GUCCAGUCUGAGUGCUUUGCAGUGGUGUUUACAACUGAUUAAUCACAACGAGUUACACAUUUCUUUGUUCCUUCUCUGUUUCCACUGCUUCAUUUGACUAGCCUUAA
rnacentral:Y_RNA from 1 species